rnacentral:rRNA from 1 species
CCUACGGGAGGCUGCAGUGGGGAAUUUUGGACAAUGGGGGCAACCCUGAUCCAGCCAUGCCGCGUGAGUGAAGAAGGCCUUCGGGUUGUAAAGCUCUUUCGGCCGGGAGGAAAUCGCAUCAGUUAAUACCUGGUGUGGAUGACAGUACCGGAAUAAGAAGCACCGGCUAACUACGUGCCAGCAGCCGCGGUAAUACGUAGGGUGCGAGCGUUAAUCGGAAUUACUGGGCGUAAAGCGUGCGCAGGCGGUUUUUUAAGACAGGCGUGAAAUCCCCGGGCUCAACCUGGGAACUGCGCUUGUGACUGGAAGGCUAGAGUAUGGCAGAGGGGGGUGGAAUUCCACGUGUAGCAGUGAAAUGCGUAGAGAUGUGGAGGAACACCGAUGGCGAAGGCAGCCCCCUGGGCCAAUACUGACGCUCAUGCACGAAAGCGUGGGGAGCA